UUCAUUCUCCUCACUGCAUUUGCUCAAUCAUUUUUAUUUUAUUUUGAUUCCCUCUCCCUGCCCGAGGGAAGCUUGUAUUGGCACAGGGUGCUCUGUGGGUUUUUAAACAAUCAGAGUGCCGUCCUCGGGAAGAAUCCCCUCACGGAUUUGUGCCUGAAGGGACACAGAAGUUUAUUCACAUGGGGAAGAAAGAUGUCAUCCCUCUCAGCAGGCUUCUCCCUCAGAGCAUUUCCCUCUGCCUGCAUCUAGAUCCAGGAAACAACAUACAUGGUUGUCAUCUGGCUCCCACAGAGCUACUGUCCUCAUUAAUUCUGAGAGGAUGUGGACCAUCUGGACAUGCUGCAGAGUCACAUUAGUCAAUGCUGUUGAUGCCACAUAAGCUGACCCUGAAAAUGGAGAGAGGUGAUAAGAUUACAGCAUUUGCUACCACCUCUGCUAUAUGUGGUUUGGGGACUCAAAUCCAGGACUUCCUGUAUGCUAAGCAAGCACUCUACCAACUGAGCUACACUCCAAGCACUGCCCCCACCCCCUCUUUUUUAAAGAGACUCCCUGCCUUUGAAGGCAGACUCUAUGGCUAAUUCAUCUAAGUACCUGGUCCACUGUCCUGAUGGAAGGCCAACCAACAUAAAAGCAAAAGAAGACUCAACAAAUCCUGAAUCUGAUUCUAACAUUUGUACAGGACUUCUGUGCCUCUGCUGAAUGGUCACAAUGCCGAAGACAGGGAAUUGAACUGGACAGACAAUCUAUGUGCUGUACUAAAAUGUGUAACAGAGAGUUAUAGGAAAGAACACUGGAACCUUAAUAACUUCUACAACACCCGGAACACCCUCAAUCCUUACUCACCACACAACGCCAUCUUCCAAGCUUAGUUCAAAGAUGGAGACCUGGUUCCCCUACCAGGCCACUAAAAUGAUUUCCUUGCUAUGGACAUGCCAACCUUUUCUUCCACGCUGUUCUAAACUCCACAGUAUUUACUAAAUAAUCUCACAUGGGAACACAUCUGCACCAGCAGCUGGGAGGCAGAGGCAGGAUGAUCAAGAAUGAGGCCACUCUUGCUUAGCUAGACACAUAUAUGGUGUUCCACCAGACCACUUCCAUAAACACAUCACAGCCUUGAAAAACACUCUGCAUCAUGAGUAAAAGCAGGACAAGAUUUCUCUUGAGUGGGCCAUGGCCCUCUUUUUUUUUUCUUUUAGAUUCUUUAAGAAUAGCCCCUGCGUUUUAGGCAAACAGAAUUUAAGCAAGUAUCCCCAAUAAAACACUUUUCAGCGUACAGUGUCUCAGAUUGUGUCUACCAGUAGAGGGCGCCUUGCACUCAGCAAUAGUCCUGAGAGUUCAGGCCCUUUCUUCCUUACCCUGCCCUGCUCAGGCUGCCAAUUGGCCAAUGUGCAAAACCGUUUUCUCCUCUUUUUGCAACUCUGUUGCAUUUUGAAAAUAAGACUAUCUUCCUGGUGAAUUUUGAGGUGCUAGGGUUUGGGGGAGCUGUGAGAGGAUGGUUUUCCCUGUACAAGAAGAAGUGAAAAAAAAAUCCUUGGUGGUAUUCACUUGGCUCACCCAUCGCAACUCAGACACAGGCAUGUGGCUUUCUCAGCUAUUAAUAAACUUUGUAUGUGGACAUAACAAACGGAUUUGAUCUUACAAAUGAACUUGUGCCAGAUGUGAAAGAAUUAUCCGACUCCAGUCUAUGAGCAGGGUCAGUCAGCCAAAUGAAAAGGACUGACUUCUGGGGAGUCCCAAACCCCACAACUGCUAAGAGAAAAUGGGGUUCCAAAACCCCAGUUGCUGAGCACCAGCACCCCCAAAAUCAGGAAGUUACGGUAACAGAUCGCAGCUGGAAAAGGAGUGAAAACAGUGUAUAAAGAAUCUUUUCACAGGUAUUUGGAAUAGUCAA